UUUCCAAGUGAAUUGAACAACAAACUGCAAAAUUUAAUCAACAACUUGCAUUGUUGUUCAAGGACAGAGUGAAAAGAUUUAUAAAUUGUUUAUCAUCAGUGAAAAGAAAAGGAUAACAAUGGUAAUGAAAGAUAGAUUUGCUAAUUGUGGAGAAACAAGGUUUUUAUUGAGGUAAAAUUGAGGAAAGGAUUGUGAUUAAAGUUGAUUUAGGAAAUAUGAUUGUUGACGGUUACCUGUUGAUGAUAAAUUGAUUGAUGGAUCUCAAGUUUUCAAGUCCAGAUGAGAGGACAGUUAAACCAGUUAGACCAUAAAAUAUUACAUUCACUUGUUCAUCUUGCGCGCUAUUAUCAUCCUAAACAUCCAAUUAUGUUCACGGAUGGUAACUAACAAGAAAAGUAUACUUCUGUUUUCUUGGUGCUUUUCUGGUAAACUUUAUCAAUCACUUUUUCUUACCUUUUUCUCACACCUUAAAUAUAUUUAUAAUGAUUGUACUCAACUCACCUUUAUCAUCAACAUGAUCAUCAUCAUGGUCAUGAAACAACAACAUGAAGAAGGAAAAUUGUUAAUAAUUAUACCAGGAACCUGAGUUAUAACUCAAUGCUACCAUAGAAGCUAUUUCUUAGCAUUAUUACCAGCCGAGCUUAACUUAAAAAAGGUAUUUCUUUUGACAAAUUAGGAGAUGGUGACAAGUUAAUCAGUGUUCAACAAGGAAAUAAAAUCAAGAGUCAACUUGAAUCAUAAGAUAAUGAUAAAAGAAGGAAAAAGAAAUUGAAUGAGAAUCAACAACAGCUGAUAAUGGACGUCUACACAUAAAUUCAAGUAUACAAGUAAUGACCGAUGUUUAUCCACUCAUUUCAUUGUAAACAAAAGUUAAACAAGCACUACAAUCAUAAUGGAUUUUGAUAAAGGGUAGCAUCAAGUGUAAACUGAUCCACCAAGAAUGGUCAGAACCAGAGUGAGGCCAAUCGGAAGUCAUAACACCAUCAAAAGCAAACGUGUAUCAAGUAAUAUAUAUAUAUUUAAUUGAUGGUUACAGAGCAAUAUAAUGGAAUACAGAUAUAAACUAUUUACCAGCAGGAGAGGAUGAAGAAGAAGAAAAAUAAGAUUCAUGUUCUUGAGCCAUUCAAUUUCCCAUGCUGAUGAAACAUGAGAUUCGGAGGGAACUUGUUAUUUCACUUUUUUUCUCCUGUUGUUGCGUUUUGCAUAAUAAUGAGAGAAACAGAAUAUCGUUCAUUUUCAAAGAAAUAAUAAUAACGUUUACCGUAAAUUCAAAAAAAGGAAAACUUAAAUUGGAUCCUUGGGCUUGUCUUGACUUUUACCUGUUUCUUUAUCAAAAUUUGGGCGGUGGUCAGUUUCUCCAUCAUCAUCUUCAUCUUCCUGUCAUUCCAUGCGUGAUUCAAUUCAUUUCAACUCAUUUCAUUCAAUUUACCAUAUCAUUUAUCCACCAAUAGUGCAACAACUCUUUAAGUUAACUUACCCGUCAGCUGUUCAUCAUUGUAUAAUUACAUAUUUGCUCUUUCAACUUGUUUUCAUUUUAUUUAGUUUAUAUCUUAUCAUAUUGUCAUUGACUUUAUUCAUCUCUAAUAUAUUUAUCAAUAUAUGAUAUUUAAUGUUAUAAUCAUAUUUCUUUUCAGAUCAUUCAUGUUAUUCAAAAGUCUAAUUGUCCUGUUUAUUUAAAGAUACUAUUCUCUACUUAUUUUCAAAGCAACAGGUUGAUGUUUAACUCAAUCGAACCCGAUGUCUGGAAACACUCCGAUAACAAUCCUGAAGCAAGUUCCAAUAGAAGGUUGAUAAGAAGAGAUAAAUUUAAGCAAGAAUUCGGAAAUUUUCACCAUAAUGUUAAAGUUAUUAUUCAAGCUCUUGAUAAACUUUUCCAUCAGAUAAUCACAACUAUGCACUAAAUUCAAACAUCAACAUUAUAUUGAUAGAUGAUUACACGUACCUACGGUUGGCUCGUAAAAAAUCAACUUAGUUUAUUUAUUUGAUUGUAUUCAAACUGAUUCUCAAGAAUAUGUUCCAAUUUAAUCCACAAAUUGGGAUUUAAAAACAAACAAAAAAUUAUUCACAUGCAAGAGUAACAUGUUUUCACUGUCGAUCUUUGUAAAACAUGAUAUUAACAAUCAAUUUAAUAGUCACACAUAAAUUAAAGAAUUUAGUUGUUUCCAAAAAAGCAUAAUCAUCAAGGAAUUUUGAGAAUUUUUUCCCCAAAACAGGCUUUCAUGAUGAUUAGAUCCUUUUUUUGAAGCUCCUUUGGCCAGAAAA